rnacentral:rRNA from 1 species
AUGGCGAAUUCCAUGGUGCCAACGCUGCUACAUCGCCUGGUUCUCGCGUUGCUCCUCCUGCUGCUGCCUCUCCUUAAUUCCGGGCAAGCCGAGGGCCGCGGCACUUCACCGAGAUCUCAAGCUGGGGCACUUCUCCACUGGAAAUCAUCCAUCAAGUACUCCUCCAAGCACCAGCUGGGAACCUGGGGAGACGACGGCAUGUACCCGUGCAACUGGACCGGCAUCACCUGCGGGGACACUCUGUCACGCAGAGGAACCAUGGUGAAGGUCAUCACAGGAAUUUCCCUUGAUGGCGCCGGCAUUGCAGGGCGACUGGACAAACUGGGAUUCCAGUCGCUCCCUUACCUUGUCAACCUCGAUCUCAGCAACAACUACCAUCUCUCCGGUGCCAUCCCUCCAGGCAUCGGCUCUCUUUCCAUGCUUUCCACCCUCAACUUCUCUGGUGAUCAGCUCACCGGGCACAUACCUGCAUCAUUCUGCAACCUUGGACAGCUCACAGGGAUGGACCUCUCCAGCAACAAUCUCACCGGACAAAUCCCUCCUGCUUUAGGUAAUCUCUCAAGACUUGCUUUUCUUUAUCUACGCGGGAAUAGGCUCUCAGGUAACAUCCCCUGGCACCUCGGACAGCUUCAGAACAUGAGAGAGAUGGAUUUGAGCCUUAAUGACAUUUCUGGCCAUGUACCUUCCGCCCUUGCAAACCUGACCAACCUUGACUAUCUGGACCUUUCUGAAAAUCGUCUGUCAGGACCCAUACCUAAAGAGCUAGGACACAUCCAAACCCUGCAAGUACUACACUUGGAGAAAAACAAUCUGAGCGGCACAAUUCCGCCCUCCCUUGGUAACCUGACAGUGCUCACAUACCUGACGGCAUAUCGGAACCAAUACACUGGCCCAAUACCGGCAGAGUUUGGGAUGCUCUCGAGCUUGAUUGGGUUGGACUUGUCAGAUAACCAUUUGACCGGCCCUGUUCCUUCUAGUGUUGCUGGAAAUCUUACUUCAGUGACCUAUUUUUCUCUUUUUGGUAACCACAUAACCGGAUCCAUCCCUCAUGAGUUUGGGAAUCUCGUGAAUCUGGAAACCCUUGCCCUCUCGGACAAUUUGAUAGUUGGAUCAGUGCCGUCAAGUAUUGGGAACAUGUCUUCACUCAAACAAUUAAUAAUACAUAACAAUAGUAUCUCAGGGGAACUGCCGACCGAGUUUGGAAAUUUGGUAAAUUUGGAGUAUCUUAUGUCCUAUGAAAACCAAUUGUCCGGCUCAAUCCCUCCAAGUUAUGGAAAAUUGGUCAAGAUGACACAAAUGCGACUGUUCAACAACCAGCUCUCCGGCCCUGUGCCUCCAGCACUGUCCAACCUUACCAAUUUAGUCGUCAUUGCACUGGAUGACAACCAGCUGAUCGGACACUUGCCAGAUUUGUGCCAAAGUAAAAAGCUACAGGUUUUACAAGUUCAUAACAACAAUUUAGAUGGUCCUGUCCCAAAAGGCUUGAGGGAUUGCAGUUCACUAACAUCGCUCAUGAUCGCCAAUAAUCAUAUUGAGGGAGACAUAACUGAAGCAUUUGGUGUGUAUCCACACCUCGAUACGAUCAAUUUAUCUUCAAAUAGAUUUGUUGGGAAGCUCUCGCCGAAUUGGGGCUCAUGUCAAAACUUGACAAGUAUUAAUUUUGCACACAACAUGAUAGAAGGCAGUAUACCUUCUGAGGUUGGGGUGCUAAAAAAUCUUGGAAAGCUUAAACUGAGUUUCAAUAGGUUGACCAGUGAGAUACCACCAGAAAUUGGCAAGUUAAGCAACCUCUAUUGGAUGGAUUUAAGAAACAAUGAACUAUCUGGCCAGAUCCCUAAGCAAAUCGGCCAACUUAGCAAUCUUGAGAUUCUUGAUUUCUCAAGCAACCUGUUGAGCGGUAAAGUGCCAGAAGAGAUGGGAAAUUGUUUGAAACUGCAGUCCUUACAUAUGAAUAACAACAGCCUUAGUGGAAGUCUUCCUGGUAGUUUGGGCCAUUUAGCUUCCCUGCAAAGAAUGCUUGAUCUUAGCAUGAAUAGUCUCAGUGGACCAAUACCGUCAGAACUCAGCAACCUAGAGAUGCUGAUGUAUGUAAACUUCUCACACAAUCAAUUCAGUGGUGCAAUCCCUGCCUCCAUUGCAAGCAUGCAAAGCCUAUCAAUAUUUGAUGUUGCAUAUAACCUCCUAGAAGGCACUGUCCCAAAUGGGAUCCAGAAUGCAUCAACUGAAUGGUUUCUCCACAACAAAGGUCUUUGCGGAGACCUUGUUGGACUGUCUCCUUGUGAUUUGCCCCCUGCAGAUCAUAGGCGAAAGCACCAAAAGAUUAUACUACCAGUCAGUCUUACUAUGUUUGUCGCUACUAUUUCAAUAACAGCAGGUGUGAUUGCCUUUAUGAUUUGCCGCAAGAAAGUACCUCAAAAUACUGAUGAUGUGAGCAAAAGGGAUGUAUUCUCUGUAUGGAGCUUUGAUGGCAGAAUAGCAUUUGAAGAUAUUAUCAAUGCAACUGACAAUUUCGAUAAGAAACAUUGCAUUGGAGAGGGAUCAUACGGCAGUGUUUAUAAAGCAGAACUUCAAGAUGAACAAGUGGUCGCAGUAAAGAAACUCCAUGCAGGCGAUGAAGAGGCACAUGAUGAAGAAAGAUUCCGGCAUGAGAUUCAAAUGUUAACAACAAUUCGCCAACGCAGCAUCGUCAAGCUAUAUGGAUAUUGUUCUCAUCCGCGGUUCCGGUUCCUUGUGUGCCAGUUUAUGGAGAGAGGAAAUCUAGCUUCAACCUUAAGAAAUGAACAACUAGCAAUCCAGUUCCACUGGCAAAGGAGGACAGCUUUAAUAAGAGAUCUGGCUCAAGCCAUCGCUUACCUCCAUCAUGAUGUUCACCCACCCAUAAUUCAUCGAGACAUCACAAGCAGAAACAUCUUACUAGAUACUGAUUUCAAAGCAUUUGUCUCAGACUUCGGUAUUGCAAGAAUGUUAAAACCUGAUUCGUCAAACUGGAGUGCACUAGCAGGGACCUAUGGCUACAUAGCACCUGAAUGUUCCUACACUUCCCUAGUUACAGAGAAAUGUGAUGUGUAUAGCUUUGGUGUUGUGGUGCUUGAGGUGUUGAUGGGCAAACACCCUGGAGAUUUGCAGGCUUUUCAUUCUUCACUCGAGGACCAGUUUCUACUGGAAGAAAUUUUGGACAAACGACUUCCACAACCCGAAGCUGGGGAGGAAGAAGUGAGACGGUGCAUCUCUGUGGCAUUUGAGUGCCUAACUCCUUCACCCAAGGAAAGGCCAAGUAUGCUGAAAGUUUAUCGAGAUCUUUCCAUCUGA